rnacentral:pre_miRNA from 1 species
CCUAAGUGCAGUUAUAAAUUUUCGUCUCCAAUGUUUUAUUGUACGUUUUAUUUAAAAAAUUUAUAAUUAUUAUUUAUAUUAUUAUUAAAUGAUAAAACAUAAAUAAUAUUUUAUAUAUAACUUAUUUAUUUUAUAAAUUUUUAAAAUAAGACCGAUGAUCAAACGCUAUAUAUGUAAACCGUAACUGUACUUGAG